rnacentral:misc_RNA from 1 species
UGUUCGCAGCCCGACCUGAGUGGAGCUCUUUUUGCGGAGCGGAGCGGAACAAAAAAGCGGGAACGGAGGGCGGAAAAAGCU